rnacentral:rRNA from 1 species
GACGAACGCUGGCGGCGUGCUUAACACAUGCAAGUCGAACGGAAAGGCCUCUUUCGGGGGGUACUCGAGUGGCGAACGGGUGAGUAACACGUGAGUAACCUGCCCUUUACUUUGGGAUAACUUCAGUAAACUUGGGCUAAUACCGGAUAGGAGCUCCUGCUGCAUGGUGGGGGUUUGAAAGUUUCGGCGGUUGGGGAUGGACUCGCGGCUUACCAGCUUGUUGGUGGGGUAGUGGCUUACCAAGGCUUUGACGGGUAGCCGGCCUGAGAGGGUGACCGGCCACAUUGGGACUGAGAUACGGCCCAGACUCCUACGGGAGGCAGCAGUGGGGAAUAUUGCACAAUGGGUGGAAGCCUGAUGCAGCAACGCCGUGUGCGGGAUGACGGCCUUCGGGUUGUAAACCGCUUUCGCUCAUGACGAAGCUUUGUGUGACGGUAGUGGGUAAAGAAGCACCGGCUAACUACGUG